AUGAGAAUACUCACGUGUGCUCUUUCUACUAACAUGACAUGGUAAGGAAAAUCUCCUUGAGAUAAGUGAACGACUGUGACUUUGGAAGAAUGCAGAAAAACAGUGUUGGUGGCUGAUCAGUGCUGAGCUGAUACAGAUUGAUACAGACUGCAGCAACUUCUUGAAGAACCUACUGAUAACUAUAGGGGAAAAAGAAAAAUACCAAGAGAAGGUUACUGUAUUUAAGCAUGUCAAGCGUCAAUCUUAUAUACAUAAGACAUUCCUUUGGAUCCUUUCUCUACAAAAAGGAGUUUGCAUGGCAGGAAAUAAGCCUAUACAUCUGCCUAACUUUGAUCAGCCCUGAAGAUGAUUUUCAGCUAUUGUUUCCCAGAAACAGUGAUGAAUUCAGACUGCAAGAACAGCUAUUUCAUUUGAAAUUUUAUGAUAUUUUCCUGAUUUGUUGCUGCUUGUGA
rnacentral:lncRNA from 1 species